UACGUAGGGUGCAAGCGUUAAUCGGAAUACUGGGCGUAAAGCGUGCGCAGGCGGUGAUGUAAGACAGGUGUGAAAUCCCCGGGCUUAACCUGGGAACUGCAUUGUGACUGCAUCGCUGGAGUGCGGCAGAGGGGGAUGGAAUUCCGCGUGUAGCAGGUGAAAUGCAUAGAUAUGCGGAGGAACACCGAUGGCGAAGGCAAUCCCCUGGGCCUGCACUGACGCUCAUGCACGAAAGCGUGGGGAGCAAACAG
rnacentral:rRNA from 1 species